GAUGAACGCUAGCGGCAGGCCUAAUACAUGCAAGCCGAGGGAGAAUGUUGGAUUCGUCUGACAUGAAACCGGCGCACGGGUGCGUAACACGUAUGCAACCUACCUUUAACUGGGGUAUAGCUCAGAGAAAUCUGAAUUAAUCCCCCAUAAGACUACGACAUGGCAUCAUGAUGUAGUUAAAGCUCCGGCGGUUAAGGAUGGGCAUGCGGUACAUUAGCUAGUUGGUGAGGUAAUGGCUCACCAAGGCUACGAUGUAUAGGGGGUCUGAGAGGAUGAUCCCCCACACUGGUACUGAGACACGGACCAGACUCCUACGGGAGGCAGCAGUAGGGAAUAUUGGUCAAUGGACGCAAGUCUGAACCAGCCAUGCCGCGUGAAGGAUGAAGGCCCUAUGGGUCGUAAACUUCUUUUAUUAGGGAAGAAAAAACGGGAUGCGUCCUGUACUGACGGUACUUAACGAAUAAGGAUCGGCUAACUUCGUGCCAGCCGCCGCGGUAA
rnacentral:rRNA from 1 species